rnacentral:rRNA from 1 species
UACGUAGGGGGCAAGCGUUGUCCGGAAUCAUUGGGCGUAAAGCGCGUGUAGGCGGUCCGGUAAGUCGGCUGUGAAAGUCCAGGGCUCAACCCUGGGAUGCCGGUCGAUACUGCCGUACUAGAGUUCGGAAGAGGCGAGUGGAAUUCCCGGUGUAGCGGUGAAAUGCGCAGAUAUCGGGAGGAACACCAAUGGCGAAGGCAGCUCGCUGGGACGUUACUGACGCUGAGACGCGAAAGCGUGGGGAGCAAACAGG